rnacentral:rRNA from 1 species
UACGUAGGGGGCAAGCGUUAUCCGGAUUUACUGGGUGUAAAGGGAGCGUAGACGGCACGGCAAGCCAGAUGUGAAAGCCCGGGGCUCAACCCCGGGACUGCAUUUGGAACUGCUGAGCUAGAGUGUCGGAGAGGCAAGUGGAAUUCCUAGUGUAGCGGUGAAAUGCGUAGAUAUUAGGAGGAACAUCAGUGGCGAAGGCGGCUUGCUGGACGAUGACUGACGUUGAGGCUCGAAAGCGUGGGGAGCAAACAGG